rnacentral:rRNA from 1 species
GACGAACGCUGGCGGCGUGCUUAACACAUGCAAGUCGAACGGAAAGGCCCUGCUUUUGUGGGGUGCUCGAGUGGCGAACGGGUGAGUAACACGUGAGUAACCUGCCCUUGACUUUGGGAUAACUUCAGGAAACUGGGGCUAAUACCGGAUAGGAGCUCCUGCUGCAUGGUGGGGGUUGGAAAGUUUCGGCGGUUGGGGAUGGACUCGCGGCUUAUCAGCUUGUUGGUGGGGUAGUGGCUUACCAAGGCUUUGACGGGUAGCCGGCCUGAGAGGGUGACCGGCCACAUUGGGACUGAGAUACGGCCCAGACUCCUACGGGAGGCAGCAGUGGGGAAUAUUGCACAAUGGGCGGAAGCCUGAUGCAGCAACGCCGCGUGCGGGAUGACGGCCUUCGGGUUGUAAACCGCUUUCGCCUGUGACGAAGCGUGAGUGACGGUAAUGGGUAAAGAAGCACCGGCUAACUACGUGCCAGCAGCCGCGGUGAUACGUAGGGUGCGAGCGUUGUCCGGAUUUAUUGGGCGUAAAGGGCUCGUAGGUGGUUGAUCGCGUCGGAAGUGUAAUCUUGGGGCUUAACCCUGAGCGUGCUUUCGAUACGGGUUGACUUGAGGAAGGUAGGGGAGAAUGGAAUUCCUGGUGGAGCGGUGGAAUGCGCAGAUAUCAGGAGGAACACCAGUGGCGAAGGCGGUUCUCUGGGCCUUUCCUGACGCUGAGGAGCGAAAGCGUGGGGAGCGAACAGGCUUAGAUACCCUGGUAGUCCACGCUGUAAACGGUGGGUACUAGGUGUGGGGUCCAUUCCACGGGUUCCGUGCCGUAGCUAACGCUUUAAGUACCCCGCCUGGGGAGUACGGCCGCAAGGCUAAAACUCAAAGGAAUUGACGGGGCCCCGCACAAGCGGCGGAGCAUGCGGAUUAAUUCGAUGCAACGCGUAGAACCUUACCUGGGUUGACAUGGAUCGGGAGCGCUCAGAGAUGGGUGUGCCUCUUUUGGGGUCGGUUCACAGGUGGUGCAUGGCUGUCGUCAGCUCGUGUCGUGAGAUGUUGGGUUAAGUCCCGCAACGAGCGCAACCCUUGUUCACUGUUGCCAGCACGUUAUGGUGGGGACUCAGUGGAGACCGCCGGGGUCAACUCGGAGGAAGGUGGGGAUGACGUCAAGUCAUCAUGCCCCUUAUGUCCAGGGCUUCACGCAUGCUACAAUGGCUGGUACAGAGAGUGGCGAGCCUGUGAGGGUGAGCGAAUCUCGGAAAGCCGGUCUCAGUUCGGAUUGGGGUCUGCAACUCGACCUCAUGAAGUCGGAGUCGCUAGUAAUCGCAGAUCAGCAACGCUGCGGUGAAUACGUUCCCGGG